GUUUCCCUUUUAUGCAGAUAUGCAAUGGCAAGCCCUUCCGUGUGUUCCAAAGACAAUGCCUACGCCUAGCCACAGCAGCUCCCUCAUACAGACUCCGCAAGCCAAGAGGCUGUGGAGGCAAAUGCAGGUAAGAGGCAAGAAGCAAUAGCACUGGUAUCGACAUUCAUCUAAUUUCUUUUUCUUUCGUUUAGGCAGCCAGCACACCUCGAACAGGCACCUUGACUGCGGGAGUGUCACCCUAGUCGCCAAGGAAACAUUUGAGGGAAAGCGACAGGCAAUGUAAAUAGCCACUUCUUCAUGUAAACGAUACUCUUUCUCUUGGAUGACUCCUACGCCUCGCCACGCCAGCACACUUGUGCACAAAGAUGCCGCGGAGGCACGUGCAGGUCAGAGGCAAGAAGCAGUGGCACUGGUGUCGACAUUCACCCAAUUUCUUUUUCUUACACUGAGGCAGCCAGCUCAUCUCGAACAGCCACCUUGACUGCGGGUGUGUCAGUAGAUUCCUGUUGUACAUAUGCUCAUAAUAAACUUCAGUAACUUGAACUUGAUAAUAAACUUUAAGGCAAAUGGGA
rnacentral:lncRNA from 1 species